rnacentral:lncRNA from 1 species
GGAUGUAGAUGGCAACGUGGCUCUCAUUCCCCUCCCAAAUACCCCAACUUUCAUCGCCUGUUCCAGAAGCCUUGUCACCUACAAGCCUAUCUGCACAGAAGGACACAGAGAAUAAUAAUACUACUAAUAAUACUAAUGAUGAUGAAAGCAGCAACAGCAGCAACAUAUGGAAUGGCUGGUCAUCAACUCUGAAGCACCAGGGCCAUCCCUGAAAAAAAGGGCCUAUUACACACUGGGCACCCACAGCCACAGCCGUUCCUGCUGCCCCCACCCUGGCCUGAUCCUCCUUAUGUUGGAACCCUCAAGGGUGGUCCCAGGUUCACUAGAGGACACAGGGUCUCAGCUCCCAGAACUGCUUCUGCCCACUGUCCCCGGGACCCAGCCCUGCCUUUCUGCCUGUUGAAGAGCAG